rnacentral:tRNA from 1 species
GCCAGUGUGGCUCAAUGGUUGAGCAUCUAUCUAUGAACCAGGAAAUUACGGGUUCAAUUCCUGUUCUGGGUG